GAUGAAGAACGCAGCGAAUUGCGAUAAGUAAUGUGAAUUGCAGAUUUUCAGUGAAUCAUCGAAUCUUUGAACGCACCUUGCGCCCGCCAGUAUUCUGGCGGGCAUGCCUGUUCGAGCGUCAUUUCAACCAUCAAGCCCCAGGCUUGUGUUGGGGACCUGCGGCUGCCGCAGGCCCUGAAAACCAGUGGCGGGCUCGCUGUCACACCGGGCGUAGUAGAUUUUAUCUCGCUCUGGGCGUGCUGCGGGUUCCGGCCGUUAAAAAACCCUUUUAACCCAAGGUUGACCUCGGAUCAGGUAGGAAUACCCGCUGAACUUAAGCAUAUCAAUAAGCGGAGGA
rnacentral:misc_RNA from 1 species